AGGUUAUACGUUGACAUUAUGUGGCAGCAGAUGGCGCUCUUAGUACUAUAUUUAUAAAGAUAUAUACAUGUAAUAUAAGAUGGAGUCAUUAUUGCAAAUAAGUGCAUGUAUUCUCCAAUUUUAUAACAUUUUAGUUUCUGUUAUACUAGAUUAUAAAACGUACUAAUGAGAGGAUAAAUAAUAAAGUGGAGAGUAAAAGUUAUACAAAACAUUAGACUAUGCAGUGAGUUUUUGAGUCAUAAAAAGGAGGAUUGCCGUUUUCCAUGGGAUACGAUUUCCUGCUUGGUUUUCCAACGUUUGCCUCCUUUCAUCCCCGGUUCCAGGAGGGUGGAACAAAAACGAGCGUCCAGAGGGUAAUAGGGAGAAGAAAUUCCGAGUUGGCGAAGGACCAAUAUGGCCACAGCACGGUUGCCAUGGUUACAUCGGGUGUAGUUGCCUCAGGAACGGGGAUCCCAUCAUCCGUG